UGNGUUGGUGUGCCUGAGGCUGGCUGCU
rnacentral:piRNA from 1 species